AUUUGGCUGCAUCAAAUAAAAGCGAUAUUCAUCAAAAUUUGCAUUAUGAGAAGGAGUUGGAUGUGAAUGUAAAACUUUUAAAUGCGACAAACCCGACAAGCCCUUUUUGCUACUUUGAGAAGUAGUAGGCGUGGAGCAACGAGUGUAGCAUUUUCUUCCAAAUUAGAAUAAUGACUAAAAACUUUUCCAAACUCGACAUCAAUCGCAAGCUCGGCGUCAGCUAAAGAUGGUUCAACUUCCUCUUCAAUUUCUAAAAAGCUGAAGGCAACAGAAGGGUGUUCAUAUUCAUUACUUUAUCAGCCAAACAACCCACGGGAAUAAGGUUAAUGACUGAAGGUUGCCGAGGAGAAUUGCCAAGCUAACCAGAGCUUCUACGAAUCUUGAGGGUCUAAUUCGCAGGGAACCUGGUCCCACGGGUAUAAAUGAAAAUUGCAUAUUCUUAUGCUAUUGAAAUUUAUCAUGAAGAGGAAACCUGGUUCUCAGGAGGAACAUCAUUUAAAAGU